GGAGAGGUGCCAGAGCGGUUGAAUGGGCCGGUUUCGAAAACCGGUGUGGGCUACGGUCCACCGGGAGUUCGAAUCUCCCCCUCUCCGCCA
rnacentral:tRNA from 1 species